UUGGGCUUUGGACGCUCUAGUCUUGCCUCCCAAAGCCUAGUACUGGGAGGUCCAAAUUUAUUCAAUUUAGAACCAGUCGGUCGUUUUGUGAACAAUUCCGUCCAAAAGGAAUUUUGAUGAUGACAAAAAUGACCCUUAUGCAAAAAACUGCAAUACAAAUUUGUUUCAAAAUCAAUUCUUCGUUGUCUUUUAAUCGGCACAGCUCUAUAGCAAAAUUUAGGUUUUAGUUUCAGCUCGAUUAUCCUUACAAAUUUCUUUGCUCUCUCCCUAUAUGUUGUUCUCUUGGUCUAAUUUUUCGCUGAAACCCUAAAAAUUAAGAGAGAUGGCGAAUAUCGAUGGAGAAGUUUAUGUAUAUAUCAGAUUCGGAGGAGGAGAUUCAAAACUUCGGAUUCGGAGGAGGAGAUUCGAAACUUAUAUAUGUGAGAGUCAAUGUUCUCUGAAAGCCUAACUAAUAUCAUUUCUCCUGAAAAUCCUCUUUCGGUUCACAGUUAAUGUUUCGAUCAAUUAUUUUGCUCAUGAUUCUUAUCAUUCCAAACAUGUACAAUCACUAGGAUUCAAGUUUAUUUGUUUGUGUUGGGAGAAACGAUGAGUUUUGUAGGAGCGAUCUUGAAGUUUGAAUUUAUCAAUUUUACACUGCACUAUAUUGCUGAUUUGAUAUCCCAAUCAAAAGGGGAACAUCUGUGAUUUCAGAAAUGGAAUGAUUAAUGUAUCACCAAUUGGACGAAACUGUAGUAAAAAAUAACGAGAUGACUUCGAGAAGUAUUACAAGAUUCACAAUGUUGGACCAAAAAUGGGUUAUGUGCUUUGGGAGAAGUUUGCUCAUCUUAACCUGACAUUUUCCAUCGGAAGACAAAUAAAUUUUGAUGCAUUUCCUCAAUGUUGGGCCAAGACCUACUGUUUGAGAUAUCUAGAGGAGUUUUAAGAAAUUCACUUCUUUGGAGAUAAAACUUACAAGGGAGGAAACAAUCACGAGAUUUACGAGUUAGAGCGAACAGUGGGUCACACAGGCAAUCUCCUGUCUAAAAAUAUAUUGUGUAAGGAUCCUAAUAAAAGCUUUACUAGUCCGAACUUAACCUCUCGUUCAAAAGAUUAUCUAUAAAACAUUCAUUUUUUUUAUUGAAUUUGUAGGAAAUGUUGGUUCCGUAGACUUGUUCUGGUAUUGAAACUAUAAAUGUCGGAUUUUAGGCUUAUCCGAUAGGAUAAAGCCUAUUUCUCGAUCUAUUUCAAUUAUUUUCUUGAACACUUACAUUUUUUUUUGGUCCCCUGUACCCUGCUCUUCUCUUGGAGUUGCAUUCAACAUCGGAUGACUUUACUAAUUAUUAGAGAUGCAUCAGCGAUACUUCUAUAGAAUAUUGAUGUUUUUCGAUAAUGUGCACAUAGGUGUACACCUGUUAUUGUUAACGUGUACAUAAAUGUACACCUGCUAUUGUUAGCGUGUACAUAAAUCUACACCUGUUGAUUUUAAUGUGUAUAUUGUUGAACCGCAUGCUCAAUUUUGGAACUUCCAGGUUUGAAAGAUAUUACUCUUCUCUUUCUUGGCCUUAGGGCAGGGUAACUUGGAUAAAGGUUCUCUUUCAUGAUUUUUGUAGACGUGUACAUGGUGGUGUACCACCAUGUGUACAUAUUUGUACACCUAUGAUAUAAGUGUACAUUGUUUUACACAUGUGAGAAAAAUUACAUGUGUACAUAGUAUCCCAUUUUAGGACUCUUAAUCAAGUUUUAGUCAACAAUCUUUUUUCGUUUUUUGGAUGUCGAAUUAGUGAUGUUGUGAUUCACUGAAUGUUGGUUACAACAGAAAUGUUAGGGAUGUCUGAUUGCUCCAAUACUGUCAAUUGUAUCAAUACUUGUCCAUCAAGUAUCAAUUCAAGCAUCUUUCCACUAUAACAACGUUGAGAUUGAAUUAGAUCAAAUUCACGUAAUAUAAACACAGGCCUAAUGUAUCAAUCCAACCAAAUAAUCAUAUAUAUUGUAGCUUUAUAUAUGUUGCUUCUAUUUGACCACAAGAACUUCCAUCAACGGAUGCAACCCAAAUUGGAAACAACCUCUAGCAUCUCGGUCAGAUAUACAACAGAAAAAAUCAUUCAACAAAAGUAUUGGUGUAUAUGCUUGUACACCUUGCUCUUGCUCUUAGAGAUUCAAUGGAGGAAGAGAGGGAAAGAAAGGAUGAUGUUGGAAGGGAUGCAGAAGAAAAAGGAGGUGGACAGGCUUCAAGUUCACAUGAUACAACUAUGACUGAAAACGUUGGCAUUAUGUCCGAUGGAGCUAGUACAAGUGAUUUGAUGGCAAGUAUCAUGCUUGUUACUGGUUGCCCUUGGGUUGAAUAUGUGGUUAGAAACAUGAUGCAGUUUAUGAUUGUACAUGAAUUCAAAGAUAUUGUUUUUUUGCAGUGAAGGAAAGAUGUGUUUGGUUUGGUUAAAGUUUAUGCCUGCUCGAGUCUGAAAGAUGAUUUAGAGUCUACAGUGACUAAGCUGAUAACGAAAUGCAGAAGCGCGAUGUAUUGUUGCUGGUGUUGCUGCAGAGAAGUGUAGCUAAGAUUGGAAAGCUAGAGAAACAGACAAAAAAUUUGAGUUGAAUGGUUGAGGUGUUGUAGUUGUUUGCAACAAGUUGUAUUGGUAAUGAGUUUGAGUUGUAAACAAGUUAUAUUUUUGUAGAUGUGUAAAUGUUUGUACACCAAUGUAAACUAAGUUUUUUUAAAAAUGAGAAUUAUA